CACGGGAACAAAGGGCUUCUCGUCUCCUAAAACCAAAAAAUAGAAUCCCUAAAAUUUUCCCAUAUGCUUUCUUCUCCGUGUGUUCUCGUCUCCUAAACGUUGCUCCCUAUCUUCAUCUUUCUCAUCACGUGUAGCUAGUUGUUCUACGCUUGCUAUUUGGGCACCUUUCAGGUUGUUGCGGCAGUAAGAGCUACAGGGGACUACCCAGAACGGGUGGGGGAACCCCCAUGUCAGUAUUAUAUCAAAACUGGAACCUGUAAAUUUGGUGCAUCUUGUAAGUUCCACCAUCCUAAAAACAGAGGUGUUGCAGAGGAAAUUAAAACAUAACAAUUGUUCAUCAGGUCAAGUUCUUUGUCUUACUCCUGGUACAAAACGCAGAAGGAAGGAAUUUUAAAGUAAAAUAUGAGUACUACAAAAAAACGUGAGAAAGAUAUCUUCAAUUUGGAAGGUGAAGUGAAAUCAAGUGCUGAAUUACUUGGGAGAUUUCAAAUUAAGCGUGAAAAGGUAUUGGGUAAUACUAAACAAAGCAAAGGAGUUAUGACUAAGGUCCAAGGAACUAAUAUCAAGAAAAACAAGCCACCAACUACUACAACAGUUACAUCAAAACCUAAAGGGUUUGAUAACCAAAUCAGAGGGCGCAAUCAAGGUACUUUUAGCAUUGCAAACCAUUCAACAAGUGACCAAGGAGAAGGAAAGAAUGUAAGUGAAAAGAAGCUUCAAAAAGAGACAACCAACGUGCAAGGAAAGAAAACACAAAUUAAAGAUCCAAUGAAGUUAUCAAUAGAGGCAGCCAACAUGCAAAGCAAGAAAACACAAAUUCAAGUUCCAAAGAAGUUACCAAUAGAGGCAACCAACAUACAAGGCAAGAAAACUCAAGUUCAAGUUCCAAAGAAAUUUCCAAUAGAGGUAACCAACAAAAGGAAACUAGUUGAAUAUGCUGGGUCACAUGGAAGGCAGCCCAUAGAAAGGGCAAUGGCUGAAUGUAAUGAGGUGCAAGAAAAUGAGCCCAUAAGAAAGUCAGUGGCUGAACAUAGUGGAUCACAUGGAAGACAGUCUGUGAAAAUGGUAGUAGCUGAAAAUAAUGACUCACGUGAAAAUCUCCAAAACCCUCAAAAAAAGACAAGAAAAGUCUCAAUGUGUCCAGCUAUGUUAAUUGAUCAGUUCCUUCAAGAAAAUGUGGAGUUUGGUCAAGAAGAGGAGGAGCGAGAUGCAAGUGAAAAUGAAGAACUCAUGGAAGAAAAUGGUCAUGAAGAAGAAAAUGCACUAGAAGAUGAAAGUAGUAAGAUAAAUGGUUAUAUAAUUGUUUAGUCUAUUCUAUUUUGCUAUUCUUUAUAUAUAUCUGUAACCAUAUUUGCUAUUAUCUUUCAUGGCUAUUAUGAUAAACUAGGUACAUGUAAGAAAAAAACAAGAGGGCCAACACGAUGUUUGAAAAUACAUGCAAGAUCAUUCGAAGAACGUCAAGGAGUUACCUUAGAUGAUGAUGGAGAACCAAUUGGACCCAAAGACAAAGUAGUAUCCGACUUGAGUUAUUUCUUAGGCACUGUGGCAAGGAAUCCAAACUUUUGCCCUUUAAUUUAUACAAACUUCAAAGGCUUGACCAUGGAUGAAAGAGAACAAAUAUGGGAUUUUGUUAAUGUAUGUGAAAAGUGAUAGUAAAUUUAAUUUGCUAAAUGGUUAAUACUUAUCAAUGUUGAUAAUUAUAUUUCUAUUUUACAAGAAAAAUUCAUUAUUCCUGAGAAAGGAAAAAAAGCAAUAUUUGCUCGCAUAAAUGAUGCUUGGAGACGCUACAAGAACUACAUCAAGAGGAACUAUUUUUUGAAAUACUCAACUUUGACAGAAAGGCUGCAACAUCGUCCAAAGCAUAUACCUGAAAAUCAGUAUAAACAUUUGAUGGUUUAUUGGAGAAACAGUAUUGUCCAAAAUAUAAGCCAGAAAAAUGCUAUCAAUAGGGCAAAGCAGAAAUACAUUCACCACAUGGGUCCUACAAACUUUGCAAGGAUUCGUGCAAAAUUGCAAGAAAAGAAGAAUGGAAAGGAUGUUUCUCAAGCUGAAAUGUCCAUUGAGACUCGUCAAAGUCGAAAAGGAAAAGAGACAAAACUUCAAGAAUCAAUCCAAUCCUCAAGUAGUGAAUCUGCUGAACAAGCUUUUCAAUCAAUCUUUGGCAAAGAAAAACCCGGUAGAGUUCGAUGUCUGGGAAGAACGAUCACACCAAGUAUGUUAAAGAAAAAUGAAGAAAUUGUUGCUUUAAAGAAACAACAUUCUGUUGAGAUAGGUUCAAUGGCUAAGACAGUUCAAGGAUUACAAUGUCUUGUAAGAUGCUUGCUAAAGGAAAUCAAUCCAGAAUUGAAUGACCAAGCUUUGGAUAAUAUAAUGGAGAAUGCUAUAAGCAAUGACAAUAGUGUAGCACCUCCUUCUUCUGCCUCAACCCAUAGUCCUGGUCAUGAUAAGGAAAGACUUGAUGAUGAAGAUCAACCUUAUGAUGAUGAAGAGAUUUUGAAUGAUGUUAUUUACAUGGAUGGAUGACUAGCUAUGCAUAAUAUUCCUAGAUGACACUUUAUUUUGAAAUUUAGAAAUUUUAUGUAAACUUUGACAUCUUUGGAUGAUUUUAUUUGGAGUUUUAUGCUUUUGAAUUGUCAUAUACUUGGAACUAAUUAAUGCAAGUGAAUUUUACAUGUGUUUG